rnacentral:rRNA from 1 species
UGGGGAAUAUUGCACAGUGGGGGAAACCCUGAUGCAGCGACGCCGCGUGAGCGAUGAAGUAUUUCGGUAUGUAAAGCUCUAUCAGCAGGGAAGAAAAUGACGGUACCUGACUAAGAAGCCCCGGCUAACUACGUGCC